rnacentral:rRNA from 1 species
CCUACGGGUGGCAGCAGUGGGGAAUAUUGGACAAUGGGGGCAACCCUGAUCCAGCCAUGCCGCGUGUGUGAAGAAGGCCCUCGGGUUGUAAAGCACUUUCAGUGAGGAAGAACGCCUGGUGGUUAAUACCCAUCAGGAAAGACAUCACUCACAGAAGAAGCACCGGCUAACUCCGUGCCAGCAGCCGCGGUAAUACGGAGGGUGCGAGCGUUAAUCGGAAUUACUGGGCGUAAAGCGCGCGUAGGUGGCUUGAUAAGCCGGUUGUGAAAGCCCCGGGCUCAACCUGGGAACGGCAUCCGGAACUGUCAAGCUAGAGUGCAGGAGAGGAAGGUAGAAUUCCCGGUGUAGCGGUGAAAUGCGUAGAGAUCGGGAGGAAUACCAGUGGUGAAGGCGGCCUUCUGGACUGACACUGACACUGAGGUGCGAAAGCGUGGGUAGCAAACAGGAUUAGAUACCCGAGUAGUC